rnacentral:rRNA from 1 species
UACGGAGGAUCCAAGCGUUGUCCGGAUUUAUUGGGUUUAAAGGGUGCGUAGGCGGAUGAUUAAGUCAGUGGUGAAAGCCGGCAGCUCAACUGUCGAACUGCCAUUGAAAACUGAUCGUCUUGAAUGUAGUAGAGGUAGGCGGAAUGUAUCAUGUAGCGGUGAAAUGCUUAGAUAUGAUACAGAACACCAAUUGCGAAAGCAGCUUACUAUGCUAUUAUUUGACGCUGAGGCACGAAAGCGUGGGGAUCAAACAGGA